rnacentral:rRNA from 1 species
AACUGCUCAGAUGGUGAGAGUGGCGCACGGGUGCGUAACGCGUGAGCAACCUACCUCUAUCAGGGGGAAUAGCCUCUCGAAAGAGAGAUUAACACCGCAUAAUAUAACUAUUCGGCAUCGUNUGGUUAUUAAAUAUUUAUAGGAUAGAGAUGGGCUCGCGUGACAUUAGCUAGUUGGUAAGGUAACGGCUUACCAAGGCGACGAUGUCUAGGGGCUCUGAGAGGAGAAUCCCCCACACUGGUACUGAGACACGGACCAGACUCCUACGGGAGGCAGCAGUAAGGAAUAUUGGUCAAUGGGCGGAAGCCUGAACCAGCCAUGCCGCGUGCAGGAUGACUGCCCUAUGGGUUGUAAACUGCUUUUGUCCGGGAAUAAACCCAGGUACGUGUACCUGGCUGAAUGUACCGGAAGAAUAAAGGAUCGGCUAACUCCGUGCCAGCAGCCGCGGUAAUACGGAGGAUCCGAGCGUUAUCCGGAUUUAUUGGGUUUAAAGGGUGCGUAGGCGGCCCAUUAAGUCAGGGGUGAAAUACGGUGGCUCAACCAUCGCAGUGCCUUUGAUACUGAUGGGCUUGAAUCCAUUUGAAGUGGGCGGAAUAAGACAAGUAGCGGUGAAAUGCAUAGAUAUGUCUUAGAACUCCGAUUGCGAAGGCAGCUCACUAAGCUGGUAUUGACGCUGAUGCACGAAAGCGUGGGGAUCGAACAGGAUUAGAUACCCUGGUAGUCCACGCCCUAAACGAUGAUAACUCGAUGUUGGCGAUAGACAGCCAGCGUCCCAGCGAAAGCGUUAAGUUAUCCACCUGGGGAGUACGCCCGCAAGGGUGAAACUCAAAGGAAUUGACGGGGGCCCGCACAAGCGGAGGAGCAUGUGGUUUAAUUCGAUGAUACGCGAGGAACCUUACCCGGGCUUGAAAGUUAGUGAAGGAUGCAGAGACGCAUCCGUCCUUCGGGAACACGAAACUAGGUGCUGCAUGGCUGUCGUCAGCUCGUGCCGUGAGGUGUUGGGUUAAGUCCCGCAACGAGCGCAACCCCUAUGUUUAGUUGCCAGCAUGUAAUGGUGGGGACUCUAAACAGACUGCCUGUGCAAACAGUGAGGAAGGUGGGGACGACGUCAAGUCAUCAUGGCCCUUACGUCCGGGGCUACACACGUGCUACAAUGGAUGGUACAGCGGGCAGCUACAUAGCAAUAUGAUGCUAAUCUCUAAAAGCCAUUCACAGUUCGGAUUGGGGUCUGCAACUCGACCCCAUGAAGUUGGAUUCGCUAGUAAUUCGCG